rnacentral:lncRNA from 1 species
UCUUGCUGGUGAAUUGUAUAUCACAGAUCUUGUGAAUGUUAAGAAUUUAAAAGAUGCCACAAGUGCCAAUUUGAAGUUGAAGACAGCUCUUUUAUUACUGACUUUAUCUUGGCAUGGUAAUGGAGAUUACCUUUUUAACCGUGGGUCACUUUUGCCACCGCAACAAAGAAAGAGCGUUAUUCAGGUAAAUAACGAGGAGGUCCUUGAAGGGCUUCAACCUCAUUCAAAUCUGAAGAAGUUGAUGAUAUGGGGAUAUGGAGGUUCAAGAUUUCCUAAUUGGAUGAUGAACUUGGACAUGACGCUACCAAAUCUGGUAGAGAUGGAGCUAUCAGCAUUUCCCAACUGUGAACAACUUCCACCAUUGGGGAAACUGCAGUUCCUCAAGAGUCUUGUAUUGCGUGGAAUGGAUGGUGUGAAGAGUAUUGACAGCAAUGUGUAUGGAGAUGGGCAGAAUCCAUUCCCAUCUUUGGAGACGCUGACUUUCAAUUCAAUGGAAAGAUUAGAGCAAUGGACAGCGUGUACUUUUCCUCGCCUUCGAAAAUUGGAUAUAGUCGAUUGCCCUGUGUUGAACGAAAUACCAAUUAUACCCUCCGUCAAAUCAGUAAACAUCCGGAGAGGUAAGGAUUCAUUACUGAGGUCAGUUAGGAAUCUCACUUCCAUCACUUCUCUUCAUAUUGCAGGGAUUGACGAUGUGAGGGAGCUUCCCGAUGGGUUUUUGCAAAAUCAUACCCUCCUUGAAAGCUUAGAAAUUGGUGGGAUGCCAGAUCUGGAGUCUUUGUCAAAUAGGGUAUUAGAUAACCUUUCUGCUCUUAAAAGCUUGUCUAUUUGGGGUUGCGGGAAACUUGAAAGCUUGCCAGAGGAAGGUCUUCGUAACCUCAAUUCCUUGGAGGUUUUAGAUAUAUGGUUUUGUGGAAGAUUAAAUUGUCUGCCAAUGGAUGGGCUGUGUGGCUUAUCUUCUCUUCGUAGGUUAAAAAUUCAAUAUUGUGAUAAAUUCACAUCCCUAACUGAGGGAGUGCGGCAUCUGACAGCACUUGAGGAUUUGGAGCUUGGAAAUUGUCCAGAGCUGAAUUCAUUGCCAGAGAGUAUCCAACAUCUCACUUCUCUCCAAUCUCUAUUCAUUUCAGGAUGUCCAAAUUUGAAGAAAAGGUGUGAGAAAGAUUUAGGAGAGGAUUGGCCUAAGAUAGCUCACAUCCCUCACAUUAGUAUCGAUUUCAAUAGAAUCAAUUAAAAUUGAUAUGCAAAAUUUGUAAUGAGAAUAAAAUAUAUUUGUUCGUAGUUUUAAUUUGUUGUAAAUGUUUAAAUAAUUUUCUCAAAUUGAUUGUUGUUUUAUUCUUCAUAUAAAUGUGUAAAAAUGAUUGGUUCAUUAUUCUUCAUAUAAAUAUAUAAUAAGUAGUUUGUUUGGUCCAAGAGAUAUAAUCCUUUUAGCCAAUUAAGUAUUUUUUGUUACUUCAAAAUUACAAAAACAUGUAUAAGAAAAUGAACUGUUGAGGUUUCUCAACUAAAAUAUCAAAAUCUCAUAAACAUCCUUUUAGCCUUUAUGAAGACGUAAUUAAUUGAAACUAAUAAUAUUUUGCGUGUUUUGUCAUUCAAGAUCGCCUUUUAUCCGUUUUAUUUUAUUUCGAUAAAAACAAUCUUCUUUUAAAAAUAAUUCAAAAUCAUGUUUGUCCCUUUAAUAAUAUCUAUAUAUUAAUUAAAGAAAAUUUUAAAAAUAAUUAACUUAAUCAAGUAUUUAUUUGAUUUUUUAAGGUCUAAAAAUAUAAUUCUUAUAUUAAUUAUAUUUUAGUUGUUAAUUUUUAAAAUAUAUUUUAAUCAAGUCAUACUUAAUUAAAUCAUCCCAGUUUAAUUUCUACCUAAAGAUUUUUAAUGUGUAUGACCUAUUAAGUUUCUAAUAUGUUGGUCCAAAUAUAAAUUAUAAUUAAAUAAAAAUUAAUUAAUUAAAUAAUUUAAUUUAUUAUCAAUUCAAUAAUUGAUUAAUUUAUAUUUGAAAACAAGGUGUACCAUCUAUUAAUGUGUCUUGAUUUUCUAAAUAUUAGAAAAAUCAUUAGUGGUUUGACUUAACUUUCUAGUGACUAGUUUCUUAGUGUUAUUAAUAUCAUUUCAUCAAUAAUGUUUUCAUUUAACAUUAAAGCAUGGAGUAUGUUUGUCAUGUUAAAUCAUGUUUAUUCUCUACAUGAUAGUCAUUGACCGUUUAAAUAAGAUUUGGAACUCUUCUCAAAUCUCAUUCCACCUUAAUUAAGAAUUUCUCAGUCAGUACUAUUUGAGAACAGAUAAAUAUAUAUUUUUUAAUUCAUUUAGAGUGAUGAAUCCUCUCUUUACAACUUAAGUAUCUUUUUAUUUUAAUUUUAAGAAUAGUGAAGUGACAGAAUUAUCUUUAAAAUAAAAAAAUAUAUAAAUAUGGUUCCAAAGGGGGGGGUUUGUUAUUUUUCUUUUUUUAUAUAUAUAUUUUUAGGUUGACCUAGGGGCUGUUUGGUAAUUUUAAAAAAUAAAUACUAUAAAAAACUGUUGACGUUUGCAACUCACAUGUUAGCACAUGCAAGGUCGUCCGGUGACCAAAAUCAGUCAUCUACGAUGAUGUUUGGAGUGGCGCAUUGUCCGCUUCGUAUUGGCGAGAUGUGUGUUAACGGUAUAGGUGUGAUUGGGCUCUGAUGAGCUUCGUUUUCUUUUCCUCUCUCUUUUUUUUCUCUUAACUUAAAAAUUCAUGUAAGCCCUUUCAAAAAUUGAUUGGGUCCUUUAGUUUCUAUUUCUAUUAAUUUUAGUUCUCAUUCUUUUGAUUACUAUUUGUUUUGCUUGUAAUACUUUUUGAAGUUUUUUUUUUUAAUUUCAUACCUAAAAAUUUUGUUUCAUAUAGUUUUUGUAUUCAAUUUAGUCAUCAUUCUUUUGAUUUCUGUUUUCUUAUUAUUUUCUUGGUUUUUUUAUUUUUAACCCUCAACAUUUUAUUUUAUUUAAUUUCUUUAUCAAAUAAUGGUUCUCAAUUUUUUAUUGCUAUUUUUUAUUUUUUUUUAUUUAUUUUAUUUUUCAAUUUAAUCCAUAAUUAUUCUUUUUAUUCGGAUGUUAUACCAUAUUUGUUCGUCAACCUGCUUUUUAAAUUAACACACUAGCCCACCAUGGAUAAGAAUUAACUAAUAAAAAGAUAACUUCACUCCACGAGGAUGUUUCUUUAUUAAAUAGAAUUGGUGAACAAAAGCAGAUGCUGCCGCAGACUGGAGCAUCUUAUAAGAUUGAGCCAAAAAAAACCUGGGAAGUCCAAAAGGUUACAGGGAAAUGCUAUUACAUUGGACAUGUUACAGUGAAAUAAACAGAAUCCAAAAGUAACCUUAUUGGAUGUACUUCCAAAGUUCCACAAGCUUGCCCCUUUGCCAAACAAGGCCUUGCACGGCUUGAAUGAUUAUACAAAUAAAAGUGAAUUUGCAAGUUUUUUGGAAAGAUAAAACAAAUCAAGAACUCACUUCUUUAGCAGCAGUGAACUGCAUUGAGCCAUUAUUUAGAGAAUUAAGGAAUGCUAAAAGAGUAUUUCUAUCAGUAUUUAGAGAGAAUUUUGUUAUUGUUAGAAAUUAUUGAUGGAAUUGCUUAUGGAAUAUCAUCUUUUGAAAGUUGCUCAUUAAUGGCUUUUUUUAUUCUGUUGAUGAUUUCUAAUACCAAUAAAAAUAUCUAUGGAAUUACUAAUGAAAUAUUAUCUUUAAAAAGUUGCUCAUUAAAUUUUUUUAUCCCGUUAAUGAUUUCUAAUACCUAUAAAAAUAGCAAUGGAAUAUUUUGCUAGUAUUAAAAAUUGCUGUUGGAAUAAAAAUAAUCUAAAAAAUUAGAAUUGCUAACGGAAUAUUCUUUUCAUAGCAGAUUCCAUUGAUGAUCUUUAAUUUAUAAUAAUAAAAAACCUAAUAGUAAGAACACCGGCCUUCUUUAUUGUGAAAAAAAAACAUAUGAUAGAUUUAACACCGCUGGCAUUGUGUGUAAACAAGAGAAGGGUCACAAGAGUUAGGGAUGGAUUAACUGUUUAGAUUUUGUAUUUGUUUUUUUAAUGAUUAUAAGUUUAUUACCAGAGAUUUAUGUAAUUUUUAAUUUUAAAAUUCAUGAAAUUAGUUAAGAUACACAUAAACUAAUUCAAACACCCGGUUAAUAAAAAAAUUCAGGGUGACAGGUCCCCAUACAUUGGCUUCACUGCAGAGAAGAACUUUGUCUGUCCAUGUCUGCAGAGAAAAAUAUAUUACUUCUCUUUUGUUGGUUGGAUGAAGUAUAUAGCAUCCAUGGAGAGAAAUUGAUGCCUUCAUCUAUAGAUGUUUUCUACCACUACAAAGGAAAAAAUGAGAAUCAAUCAACUUGGUGAAUGCAGCGAUUGAAAUGCUCUUCACAGUAAUUUUAUAACCAUGCGGACAACCAGUGGAGGGUUAAAGAGAAGCAUGACUUCAUAUUUCAUUAUACAUCAUUGAAAACCAAAUUAUUCCCGGUUAACUGGAUACUCCAGGCAAUACCCAUAUAGGAGGAGGUGCCAUGUCUUUCUCUGAAACCUAACCAUUGGCAUCAACUCAUCAAGUAUAACUUAUUUGUUAUCUAGUUUAGAUAUGAUUGUGUAUUUAUUAUUAGCAUUUAAUCUUAGCAAUAAUCAUGGGAGAAAAUAUAAGCAAGAUUGUCUUUUCUUGCUGCAAGUUUUUCCCACUCUAUAUAUAAACAUGUACCGCAUAAGAAAGAGGUAUGAAUGAAUAACUCUAUUUUGCUACUGCACUGUCUCACGUCUCUUCAUUACUCUGCUUCAAAUUUCUACAGGAACAUGUUGGGACAUUCAAGCAAUCAAACACACAUCAAUUUACGUAGUUCGGCAACUUGCCUACUCCACGGAGCUACUGGUUUGUAUUAAUCAAGCUUAGAAACAAUACAAACAACAAAACAAGGAGGAGGAGAAAAUUCUUCUCUACUCAACUCAACUCAACUCUCGUUAGCUCUCUCUCUGUGUGUGUUUCUCUCUGUUUCGUCUCUCUCUCAACAUCCUCUAUUUAUAGCUGAUGUGGGAGACAAUCUUCUCCAUUUAGUCAAUGAUAGCAGCCACCAUUUUCAAUGGUUAGGCAACCACUUUUGACUAUUACCAUGCAGUCAUGCUUGACAGUAGCCAUGCUUGACAUGGCUGCCAACAACCAUAUUGUGUCCAUACAUAACAAUCUCCCACUUGGACACAAAUGGCGCUAGAUCUAUCUUUUAAUCUAUGAGACCAACUGAAGCUUUACAUAGCUUCAGUUUAUCAAGAGUAACUCCUUUGGUUAAUAUGUCAGCUGGAUUCUUGCUUCCACAGACCUUUUCUAGCAUCAAUUGCUCCUCGUCUAGCAAUUGUCGGAUGAAGUGAUAUUUGAUCUGAAUAUGCUUCGUCCUGGAGUGAAAUGCUGGAUUCUUGGCAAGGAAGAUUGCACUCUGACUGUCGCUAUACAAAGUACCCUUUUCAUUCAUCUUACCCAAUUCUUUCAGGAAACUCUGUAGCCAUACUAUCUCUUUUGCAGAUUCUGAAACUGCAACAUAUUCAGCUUCAGUUGUUGAAAGAGCGAUGAUCUUUUGCAAGGUAGAACUCCAGGAAACAGUAGUACCUCCUAGAGUAUAUACAUAUCAUGUAGUGCUCUUUCUGCUAUCAACAUCUCCUCAUAGAUCAGCGUCUACAAAACCUUCAAGUUUCAAACUACCAGCCGAUGAACCUUUUAAGUACCUCAUGAUCCAUUUCACCGCCUCUCAAUGCUGCUUUCCAGGAUUGCUCAUAUAUCGGCUUACAACUCCCACUGCAUAGGCAAUGUCUGGUCUGGUACAGACCAUAGCAUACAUCAAAGAACCUAUAGCUGAGGCGUAUGGAAUCUUAUCCAUGUAUCCACAUUUUAGCUCAGUUUUUGGUGACUAGUCUUUGCUGAGCUUGAAAUGAUUCCUCAGAGGUGUACUUACUGGUUUAACAUUAUCCAUACUAAACCUGCUGAGAACCUUCUUGACAUACUCUGUUUGUGAAUGCUUUAGUAUGCCUUUGUCUUUAUCUCUGAUGAUUCUCAUGCCAAGUAUUUGUUUAGCAGCUCCCAGAUCCUUCAUUUCAAACUGUUUUGACAAUUGUUGUUUCAACUUGUCAAUCUCCUCAAUGCUGGAUCUUGCAAUCAACAUAUCAUCCACAUAUAAUAGUAGAAUGAUGUAGGAGUUGUCAAAAUGUUUGCCAUAGCAACAAUGAUCAGCCUGGCAUCUUGUGUAUCCCGAACUACACAUGAAGUUGUCAAACUUCUUGUACCACUGUCUUGGAGCUUGCUUCAAACCGUAUAGGCUUUUCUUUAGCUUGCAGACUUGGUUCUCCUUUCCUUGUAUUUCAAACCCCUCUAGUUGUUGCAUGUAAAUGUCUUCCUCCAAUUCACCAUAAAGAAAGGCUGUUUUUACAUCUAAUUGUUCAAGAUGUAAAUUUUCUGCUGCUACUAUCCCCAGAACAACUCUGAUUGUUGUGAGCUUCACAACUAGAGAAAAUAUCUCAGAGUAGUCAAUCCAUUUCUUUUGUUGAAACCCUUUUACAACAAGUCUUGCCUUAAACCGUUUGCUUCCGUCAUGCUCAAUCUUUACUCUGUAAACCCACUUGUUUUGCAAAGCCUUCUUUCCUUCAAGUAGUGUAGUUAGCUCCCAGGUCUUGUUCUUCAGCAACGAACUCAUCUCAUCCUUCAUGGCUAACUCCCACUUGCUUGAGUUUCCAUCUUGUAAGGAUUCUUCAUAACUUAGCGGCUCACCACCAUCUGUCAACAAAAUAUAAUUUAGUAGAAGUGUGAACCGUUGUGGGGGCUUUACAGUCCUUGAAGACCUACGAACAUAAACAAUUGGUUCACUUGGCUCUGCAUCUUCUUGUGUAGUAGUGGGUACAAAUAUGCUUGAAUCUUCUUGUAAAGACUCUUGAGUUUUGUUCUGCUUGGUAACAUUAGGAAGCCCUUCUAAUCUUAUGAAUUCAAAUUUUUGUGGACUUGAAUCUGAAUCAGCCAAAUCUGUUUCUACACUUGAUCUGUCUUUGUACAAAACUUUCUCAUUGAAGAUCACGUUCCUGCUUCUGAUAAUCUUUCUGUUCUGAUCAUCCUAGAACCAAAAUCCAAAUUCUUCAUCUCCAUAGCCAAUGAAGAAACAUUUCUUGGAUUUGGCAUCUAGCUUGUUGCGAGCAUCAGAAUCUAUAUGCACAUAGGAAACACACCCAAAGACCUUUAAUAUAUGUAUGAAAGUUCUUCUAAGAAUAUCCUGAUUGCAAAAUUAAACUUAAGAAAUGCAUAAUAAGGAAUGAUAAUACAUGCACAGGAAACUGGGUUAGAUAUUCGCAUAAAUUUUUUUUAAAUUAUUUUUAAAAAAAUAUUAAAAUAAUAAUUUUUUAUUUUUUAAAAUUUAUUUUUGAUAUUAACGUAUAAAAAUUAUAUUAAAAUAUAAAAAAAAUAUUUUACAAAAAUAAAAAUAACAGUUUUUUAAAAAAAAAUUAAAAUCAUUUUUAAAACAUAUUCUCGGAUUAGAAGUUACAGACAAAAAAUGGGCUGCUUCUUGAGGCUCAAGCUUUGAAUGCAAAUGGAAAGUCAUUCAGCUAAGCAAAGACAUCCUGUAUUGUCCCAAUUGACAAACUGCAAUAAUUUAUAAUCAGAUCUUGUCAGUUUUAAGAACAAGCAUCACUAUUCAAGUCGUUUUAGUAUCCUGAUUCUAUCACAAUCGUUUUUCGUAGUAAAGAACAGUUCUUUCUCCUAUAAAAUUUCUUCUUUUAUGGCAUUUUUUAUAGUCACAGAGUUUUCUCGAUUAUUUCAUGAUUUACCAACAUCUUUUCUCCAAAAAAUACUGGUAAACUAAAGUAUAUCACUGCAACACUAACUUCAUGAAAGAAAGAAUUUUUUUUCAUGGGCAGAGCUACAAAAGUUGAACAAGAGUUAAUGAGAGGAAUAAGGGAUGAUGAGCUGCAGGUUGCAAGGUUCUGAGACUGAGACUUAGACCGAGACCCAGAUCAAUAAUACCAUCACCUUCCUAGGCUGAUAGUAAGAGGAUUGAAGAGCUGGAGGGUUUAGAAGGAAGCCUGAUGCAUCUUAAUACAGUGUGCAUCUCCUCCUUCUACCUUUUCUGAUGCUGAUAAGAUAAUUUCAUAUUUGUGAGUUGCUCCCAGUGGCGGAAGCAGGGGGCUGGCAGGGCCACGGCUCUUGCAAGUAAUUUUUUUUCUAGCCUUCUCCUCUAACAAAUUAGAUUUUUAGUUUUAAUAAUAAAAAUUUUGAAUUUUGAACCUCUUAGAAUGUUUUUCCUAAUUUGCCACCCAAGCUAGAAGUCCUACAGUUCAACCCUGAUCAUUCACUGACAGGUUGCUCACCGUCGGAUUUCCAACCUGAAAAGCAGAACCACUGUAGGAGGAGAUGCACACAGUGUAGGGUCCGUUUGACUAAGUGUUUACACUUGCGUUUGUUAUUUAACAGAUAAAAUAUAGUGUUUGGUUAUGAAAUCAACUAUGAUUUUUGUACGUGAACCCCACCAUCAACUGCAUUCAAAACAUUGUUUUGUUGAAGCAGAAAUUAUCUGCUUCUCUCGUCGCAUUCCUGCUUUUCUACUGUAUGCGCACAUCCUGCUAAUUAAUUAGCAGCAUGCUGCACUGUUCCUAAUUAAUUAGCAAGAAUAGUGCAGCUUGCUGCACUGUUCACGUGCUGCACUAUUUUUGCCGAACCGGUUCCGGUCUAAAAUUUAAAAUGUAUUUAAACAGGUUUGAUCUAGUAAAAUAAAAUUAAAAAUUAUUUUUUAUUUUUUUAAUUGUAUUUUAUUCAAAAAACUAGUGUUUAAUAUUAUUCAUUGAAACUAUAUAAAUUAAAAAAAGAUCGCUUGAUGACGUAGCAUUUGCAGAAUUUGAUUGCAAUUCCAAUUUUGUUCCUGAUUAUAUUUUACUUGAUGUUGUUGCGUGCUUAAGAAACCAAAAAAACUGUAGUCUUUGUCGGAUGUAUUUCAUACGUGAUGGAAUUGUAGAUAUUAUAAUGGAACAAUAAAAAAUAUUUUAUAUAAGGUAUUAUUUAUUUUAUGAUGUAAUAGCAAUAGUUAAAUUUAUAACAUUUAAAUUAAAAACCGUCAAUAUUAAUAUAUAAUUUUUUAAAUUAUUUUAUAACCUCAAUUUCAAAAGCAUUCUUAACCAAACACAUUAAACUAUUUUUUGUUCAACCUCAAUUUCAACCACAGUUUUAACUAAACACCUAUUUUUUCAAACUAACCUCAACUAAAAGUAUUUUUUAUAAAAUAAUUUUUUUUAAAUUACAACCACAACAGCUAUCGCAAUACCAAACUCAUAAUAAAAGUACAGUCCAUUCGAAAAAUUACUUAAAAGUCCGUUGUCAUAAUUGAUGAGAGAGAAACACACAGUCCACUUACGAGAGAUGAGCAUAAAAUAUGUCAUCAUAUGCAUAGCUAGUCAAGUCUGCACCGUGUGGAGCCCAAGCGGCUUGGCCAGUGCGGGACGAAGAUUCUUAGAAUUUAUUUAAAUAAACGAAAAACACGUCAUAGCAAAUAUAUCCGUGUGGAGCCCAAGCGGCUUGGCCAGUGCGGGACGAAGAUUCUUAGAAUUUAUUUUAAUAAACGAAAAACACGUCAUAGCAAAUAUAUCCGUGUGGAGCCCAGGCGGCUUGGCCAGUGCGGGACGAAGAUUCUUAGAAUUUAUUUUAAUAAACGAAAAACACGUCAUAGCAAAUAUAUAUCGUUUACUUUAUUGAUAUUAAAAAUUAUUAUAAUAUAUUUUUAAAUAAAAAAUACUUUUACAAUACAUUUCAUAGUCUAAAACACACCCAAUACUAGUAACCAAACAAAUCAAAAUAAUUACAAAACACGGCAAUCAUGAUCAUACAUUCCAUGCCAUGAGACAUACUUGAGAACACCAUCCCGUCAAAUUUGGAACGUGCUCUUUUUUCUUCUAUAUUUAUUUUAAAUUCUUUUUAUAUUUUUUUUCAUUUUAUUCUUUAUUAUUUAUUUUUAUAUCAAAUUUAGUAUUUUUUUUUCAAAUUGCUAUUUAUUUUAUUUUUCUCUUUUCUUUUAAUUAAUUUUUUUCAAUUUACAUAUUUAAUUUUUGUUUUUUAAAGAAAUAUCCAAAUUCUUUUCAUUAUAAUUUCUUUCAAUUUCAUUUAUCUUCUUAAUUAUUAUUUUUUUAGAAUCACCCGUCAUUGUUUAAUUUUAUUUGAUUUUCAUGCCAACUUUUAUUCUUAUUUUUUCAUCAUUGUUAUGAAAUAUAGCCCAAGGGUCAAUCCCGAGCACAUCCUGGGUCACGAAUCAAGUGAAUUGGCCAAGGAUACCCAAAUAAACUUAAGCUCUGUUUGUGUUUUGCAUUUUAAAAGUGCUUUUAAAAAAUUUUAAAUUUUUCUUUCUUUCCUUCAAAUUAAUAUUUUUUGAUGUUUUUAAAUCAUUUUGAUGCGCCGAUAUCAAAAAUGAUUUAAAAAAAAAUUAUUUUGAGACAUUUCCAAGAAAAAAACACUUUAAAAAGCAACCGCAACCACACUCCCAAACACGCUCUAGCCUAAAAAAUUAUCCAAUAGGUUUUAAAAAAAAAUUCACAAAAAGCUUGUGUCCUCAUUUUUUUUAAUCAUAAAUUUUAAGACUGACCAGGAGGUCGAUCCCCGGACAAGUCUUGAGUCACAAGUCGGGCGGGUUGGCCAGGAUUACUCCAGCAACUAUUUUUUUAUUUUAUAAAUAUAUAAAAAUAACAUUAUUUUAGUUCAAAUUUUUUAAAAAAAAUUCAAUAGGUUUUAAUAAAAUUUAACAAAAUAAAUUCAACGGGCUUAAGAAAAAUUAUAAAGAAUUUAAUGAAAAAAUUGGAUCUUUUUUUUUUAUGAUGAUUUUUAAACCUAGUGUAGGGAUUGAUCCCAAGUAACUAUUGGGUUACAAGUCAAGUAAAUUGAUCAAUCUAAUUUUUUAUUUUACAAAAAUAUCAAAAUUACAUAAUUUUAAUAACAAUUUAACAAAUAAAAUCAACAAGUUUUUAAAAAAUUUAACAAAAAAAUUAUUUCACAUUUCUUUGGUUGUGAUUUUUAUUUAUUUAUUUAUUUAUAAUUUUGCUUCGUAAAUUUGCUGCUCCAGGAAGCUUAGAAAUCCUUGGAAGAGAUGGCCCGUUGUCGUUGUCAUAAUUGAUGUGAGAGAAAUACACAGUUUGCUUACGAGAGAUGAGCAUAGCUUGUCAUGUCUGCACCGUGUGGAGCCCAAGCGACCUGGCCAGCGCGGGACGAAGACUUUUACUAACCAAUAAGCAAAACACAGCCACGUUCCUUCUCUGAAACUGCAAUUGCUGUAGUCCCUUUUCGGUAGAGCUGUGUCUUGUUCUUUUUAAAAUUGCUUUGUACCUUUAAAAAAUAUUAUUAGAUAAUCUUAGGACUUGUUUAGUAGCUGUGAAGCCUGUGAUUGGUUUUAAUUUUUAAAAUAUUUAUUGUUAUUGGUUUUUAAAAUAUUUUAGUCAACUUAUUUCCUCAUUCUAGGUGCAAACAAAGUAAAAUAUAUAAAGUAAAUAUUUCAUGCCUAUAUUUAGUUAAUUAAUUUUGUUUAAUUAAAAAAAUACCUUUUUAAAAGCCAACUUUAAUAAAGAACAACAAUAAAAAAAACUCUAAAAUAACCCAAGUUAUUUUCUAAAUUAAUGAGAAAUCUUGUAGAAAACAAAUAAAAACAUAAUGGAGUUCAAUAUUUAAUUAAAUAAAUAUUAAAGGAUAAAAUUAAAAAAAAACACGAGUUCAAAAAAAAAAAAGAGUAAGCAAACUCAGAAAAAUCUUCUAAACCUGAAUUAAUUUUUCUAACUCAGAAGUCAUAAAAUUCUAGACGCGAACUCAAUAUAGAAGCUCAAUCACCAAUUAAUUUAAUAUUAAACGAUGUAAUAAAAAAAUAAAUUUUUUUUUAAAAUUAUCUUAAGCAAAAAUAGCAACACAAAAGAAUGAGAAUCAAAUUUGAUAAAAAACAAUUAUUGAGGAUUAAAUUAUAAUAAAAAAUAAAAUUUAAAAAUUAUCUUAAAUAAAGCAAAUAACAAUAAAAGGAUUAUGGAUCAAAUAUGGCAUAUGAAAAUAUUAUAGGAGGAUUAAAUUAAAAAGUAAGUUUUAAUUUUAUAAAUAAUUUUAAAUAAAAUAAAUAAUAAUUAAAAAAAUUAAAACUAUAUCUAAAAAUACAAAUUAAAAAACUAUCAUAAAAAAUUAGAGAACCAGACAUGAAAAUUGAGAAGAUAAAAAGAAAAUAAAAUAAAAAAAGGUUUAUUGUCACUAUACUGGAGGUUUGGUAUCCACACACAUUCUCAUAGAUAAAAGGAUUGCCAAAAUGAUAAUGUUGCUUUGGAAGCCACCGUUUAACAAUCAUACUACCCUAAACCCUAAAAUGGUGCUGAGCAGCCUCACAUGUCAUCAACUUUUGAAUAAUAUUUUAUAUUUAUUAAAUUAUCAAUUAACCUCUCAAUUCAUUAAUUAUAACAAAAAAUCAGGAUAAAAAUACAAACAAAACCGUACAUGCAAGUUAAAAAAUUCUUGAAAUUAAAGGCACUUGAGUAAUUUUAUUGUGAAAAGUCUAAACAAUACAUUGAUGCUACUUCAGCGUUUUUUGCUUUCUAUGACAAGAUAAUCAUUAUGCUAUGCAAAGAAAUAUAAAAGUCCCCAUAAUCAGGCAAAUUAUUUUUGUUAAAAAAAAUAAAAUAGUAAUUUUAUUCUUGAAAUUCACAAUAAAUAUGAUUCCAGAGCUACAGUAAUUACGACUGUACAAACCUCCUUUUCAUUAUAUAUAUAUUCAAACGUCAAAAUUUCAAGUUUUUCCGACAUUGGCAAACAUUAAUCAAAUCUCUGUUAGAAAAAAUCGAGCAAAUUAGUUAACUGACAUCCCAAGUUUAAAAAGUUAAUUUUAAUAAAUUUUUGUUUUUUUAGUAUAUUUUUAAAAAUUUAUUGUAUAAUAUUUGAUUGGUUAUAAAUUAACUUUUAUUAUUUUUUUUAGUUAUUCUAAUUUUAUAUCUCAUAUCACAGAUUUGAUAAGUUAAUUCAGGUUAAUUUGAGUAUUUUUUUAUAUUUUAAAUAUUAAUUUUUUAUUAAUUCAGUUUAUCUACCAUCAUUACUUUUUAUUUAAAAUCAUUAAAUUAGUUUAAAUUACCCAAUUUUUUGAUUUUUUUAAAAUCCUAAGUUUAGUAUGAAGUUUUUUUUAUAUAUUCAGAAAAAAAAUAACUACACUCACAGUGUAGCAUAUACCAUCUAUUUAAAGUAAUUACUAGAAACUUUUAAACAUGUUGGAAUUCUACUGUAUAUAUGCACUGUUAAGUGUUUACAAGAAAUAAUAAGGGUCCGUUUGUUUACGCGGCUGCGGCUGCGUUUUAAUUAAAACGCAGUUGGCAGCCGUUUGGUAAUGAAAAAACUUGAUUUACUGUGCCUGGGUCCCACGUGUUUUUUGCGGCUGAAACGUUAAAAAUGAAAAGGAGGAAAAUCAUGCUUUCCAUUCACUGUGCAUGCUAAUUGCACUGUUCACUGAACAGUGCAAUUAACAUGUACAGUGUACAUGGUACACUGUUCACGUGAACAGUGCAGGAGAAUUGCACUGUUCACGUGAACAGUGCAAUUCACGUGCACUGUUUAAACACUUUUUUUUUUUUUUUUUAAAAAAAAAAAAAAAAAUUUAUUAAUAUUUUUUUUUAAAAAAUAGUUUAGAGUAAAUUAAAUUUAUUUGCACUGUGAUAUGAACAAUAUAUUUUUACCCAAAAACUAGUAUAAAAUAAAUUAAAUUUACUCGCAUUGUAAUAUCAAUUUUAUACAUGAUAAUAUUUUAUUUAAUUGUAUUAUUAAAUAGUUAAAUGGAAUAAUAAAAAAUAUUUUAUAUAAAGUAUUAUUUAUUUCAUAAUGUAAUAUGAGUAAUUAAUUCUAUAAUAUUUAAAUUUAAAACUAUCAAUAUUAAUAUAUAUUUUUUAAAAUUAUUUUAUAACCUCAAUUUCAAAAGCAUUAUUACCCAAACACAUUAAACUACUUUUUUUCAACCUCAAUUUCAACCACAGUUUUAAUCAAACACCUAUUUUUUCAAACCAACCUCAAUUAAAAGUACUUUUUAUAAAACUACUUUUUUCAAACCACAACCACAACCACUACCGCAAUACCAAACACACACUAAAUGUGGACUCGCACAGCUGAUUCUCACGACUUUUGAAAGCAUUUUGCUUUUCGUGUAGGUUUAAAAAGGGUAUGGAUUUUCUGAAGGCACUUGGAAAUAGUCGAAGAAAAAGGCCGAGAUGCAAUGAGCUUUCACAGCCGAUUUUCACCUUGGGAGCUUAGAAAUCCUUGGAAAAGAUGGCCGGUUGUCGUUGUCAUCAUGAUGGUGCAUUAGAUGCUUUGACAACUUGCCUUUGUAUUUGCUAGUAAAUACCAACUAAAAAACAAUCUCUCUCUCAACCAUACUUCCGAAGAUUCCCGUUGUCAUAAUUGAUGUGAGAGAAAUACACAGUUCACUUACGAGAGCUGCAUACCUAGUCAAGUCUGCACCGUGUGGAGCCCAAGCGAGCUGGCCAGCGCGGGACGAAGACUUUUACAAACCAAUAAACAAAUUCAAGUAGACAAAUUCUGUCUUCAAAACACAGCCAUGUUGCUUCUCUGAAACUUCAAUAGCAGAAGAAAAGCUCAUCACCAUACACUUUCACCUUUGCCAUUUCUCAUCUCACACUGCCCUUUCUUCUCAAUAUUUACUUUACCGUUUCUUGCUCACAUCCCCUGCUUUUAGUUUUCCUCGCACGUUUUCUACUUCUUCUUCUCAACAUCCAUUUCUUUUCCAUUCCAAGACAAGCUAUGGCUGAUGCAAUUGUUUCUGCUCUCGCGAGUACAAUCAUGGGGAACUUGAAUUCCUCAAUUCUUCAAGAGCUUGGACUUGCUGGGAGCCUAGAGACUGAUCUUGAACAUCUCGAGCGCACGUUCAUAACUACUCAAGCUGUGCUCCAGGAUGCAGAGGUGAAGCAGUGGAAGGACCAGGCUAUAAAGGUGUGGCUCAGACACCUCAAGGAUGCAGCUUAUGAUGUUGAUGAUUUGCUAGAUGAGUUUGCCAUUGAAGCUCAGCGGCGUCAGCAGCGAAGAGAUCUCAAAAAUCGACUAAGAUCCUUCUUUUCUGUCGAUCAUAAUCCUCUUGUUUUUCGACGAAGAAUGGCGCAUAAAUUGAAAAAUGUGAGAGAAAAACUGGAUGCCAUUGCCGAUGAGAAAAACAAGUUCAAUUUAACACCACGAGUUGGGGACAUAGCAGCUGAUACCUACGAUGGGCGGCUUACCAGCUCACUCGUGAAUGAAUCAGAAAUUUGCGGAAGAGGCAAGGAGAAAGAGGAACUAGUCAACGUCCUGCUCUCUAAUGCAGACGAUCUCCCUAUUUAUGCUACGUGGGGAAUGGGGGGCCUCGGGAAAACAACACUUGCUCAAUUAGUCUACAAUGAAGAAAUUGUUAGACAACAAUUCGGUUUGAGGAUCUGGGUGUGUGUAUCUACUGAUUUCGACGUAAAAAGAUUAACAAGAGCCAUCAUAGAGUCCAUUGAUGGUGCCUCUUGUGAUCUUCAGGAAUUGGAUCCCUUGCAACGAUGCCUCCAACAGAAGUUAAGUGGAAAUAAGUUUUUGCUUGUAUUGGAUGAUGUGUGGGAUGAUUAUGGUGAUAGGUGGAGUAAAUUGAAGGAGGUAUUAAGGAGUGGAGCUAAAGGUAGUGCUGUAAUAAUAACUACCCGUAAUGAGAUGGUUGCUCGUAGAAUGGCAACAGCUUUUGUCCAGCACAUGAGGAGAUUGUCUGAAGAAGAUUCUUGGGAUUUGUUUCAACGGCUUGCAUUUGGGAUGAGAAGGGCAGAGGAAUGGGCACACCUGGAAGCCAUUGGAGUAUCGAUAGUGAAGAAGUGUGGUGGUGUUCCUUUAGCUAUAAAGGCACUCGGGAACAUAAUGCGGCUAAAAGAAAGGGAGGAUCAGUGGAUAGCUGUCAAAGAAAGUGAGAUUUGGGAUCUAAGAGAAGAAGCAAGCAAGAUUUUACCUGCUUUGAGGUUGAGUUACACUAAUCUAUCACCACAUUUGAAGCAAUGCUUUGCGUAUUGCGCUAUAUUUCCAAAAGAUCACGUGAUGAGGAGGGAGGAGUUGGUUGCUUUGUGGAUGGCAAAUGGUUUUAUUUCUUGCAGAAGAGAAAUGGAUUUGCACGUUAUGGGCAUUGAGAUAUUCAAUGAACUAGUGGGAAGGUCAUUUCUGCAAGAGGUCGAGGAUGAUGGAUUUGGCAACAUAACAUGUAAAAUGCAUGAUCUUAUGCAUGAUCUUGCACAAUCCAUUGCAGUACAAGAAUGCUAUAUGAGUACAGAAGGCGAUGGGAAGUUGGAAAUUCCUAAAAAUGUCCGUCAUGUAGCUUUUUAUAACAAAUCAGGAGCUUCGUCUUCUGAAGUUCUCAAGGUCCUAUCACUUCGCUCACUUCUUUUGAGGAAUGAUGAUUUUUGGAAUGGAUGGGGAAAGUUUCCUGGUCAAAAACAUCGAGCCCUGAGUUUAAGAAAUGUCCGUGUGGAGAAAUUACCGAAGUCAAUUUGUGAUUUGAAACAUCUAAGGUAUCUAGAUGUAUCACGCUCCGAGUUCAAAACACUGCCUGAAAGUAUAACCUCACUCCAAAACCUCCAGACACUAGAUUUGAGAUACUGCAGAGAACUCAUCCAAUUACCAAAAGGUAUGAAGCACAUGAAAAGUCUUGUCUAUCUUGACAUAACGGGUUGUUAUUCACUUCGAUUUAUGCCUGUUGGAAUGGGGCAAUUGAUAUUCCUGCGAAAACUUACCCUGUUCAUUGUGGGUGGAGAGAAUGGUCGUCGCAUAAAUGAGCUGGAAGGGCUGAAUAAUCUUGCUGGUGAAUUGAGUAUCACAGAUCUUGUGAAUGUUAAGAAUUUAAAAGAUGCCACAAGUGCCAAUUUGAAGUUGAAGACAGCUCUUUUAUCACUGACUUUAUCUUGGCAUGGUAAUGGAGAUUAUUACCUUUUAUCACUGGCUUUAUCUUGGCGUGGUAAUAAAGAUUACCUUUUUGGCUCUCGGUCAUUUGUGCCACCGCAACAAAGAAAGAGUGUUAUUCAGGAAAAUAACGAGGAGGUCCUUGAAGGGCUUCAACCUCAUUCAAAUCUGAAGAAGUUGAGGAUAUGUGGAUAUGGAGGUUCAAGAUUUCCUAAUUGGAUGAUGAACUUGAACAUGACGCUACCAAAUCUGGUAGAGAUGGAGCUAUCAGCAUGUGACCACUGUGAACAACUUCCACCAUUGGGG